rnacentral:rRNA from 1 species
UACAGAGGUCUCAAGCGUUGUUCGGAUUCAUUGGGCGUAAAGGGUGCGUAGGCGGCGCGGUAAGUCGGGUGUGAAAUUUCGAGGCUUAACUUCGAAACUGCAUUCGAUACUGCCGUGCUUGAGGACUGGAGAGGAGACUGGAAUUUACGGUGUAGCGGUGAAAUGCGUAGAUAUCGUAAGGAAGACCAGUGGCGAAGGCGGGUCUCGUGGACAGUUCCUGACGCUGAGGCACGAAGGCCAGGGGAGCAAACGGG